ensembl:lncRNA
CCGCCCUCCUCAAGUCAGACACGCGCAGCACCGCGGGCUGCUGGCUCGAGCUCCAAAGAGCUUCAUGUUUCCUGUCCUCGUGCCUCUGUCCCUCAUUCCGUCAACGAGAACACCCGACGUCAACACGUACGCUGAGCUGGCCGGGGGUUGCUACACACCAGGGGUCGGUACAAUACACACUAGCAGGGGGAAGGGGGGAUGGGGGUUCUUCCCGAAUACUUGCUUUCACCUGCCGGACCGGAGUGCAGCGCGCUUGCAGACCGGAGCGGCUCGUGUUGGUUUGGCUCGAGCCAGCGACCAGGUGACCCGGUUGCCCACGCGCCGCCGUUUUAACCUCGGCGUCAUCGAAUCGUUAACGGGCGUGCGCCGUUGGACGUGUGUGGAGAAGACCUGCUGAACGUGUGAGGAGGACCUCCGUGGAGACUUGAGGACCGCGAGGAGGACCUCCGUGGACACCUGAGGACAUCCGUGGACACCUGGGGACCAUGAAGACUGUUAGCCGCCGUGUCCCGUGGAGGGUGACGACCAGUGGGUGUUAUAGCCCUGCUGGCUGUCCCACUACGUCUAUCUGCACCGCAGAGUUUAACGCUUCCUUGCCCUCGGUCGGGGUCCUGGACGAGGUCCUGGUCGGGGUCUUGGUCGUGGUCUUGGUCGGGGUCUUGGUCGGGGUCCUGG